AGUGAACGCUGGCGGUAGGCCUAACACAUGCAAGUCGAACGGCAGCACAGUAAGAGCUUGCUCUUACGGGUGGCGAGUGGCGGACGGGUGAGGAAUACAUCGGAAUCUACUUUUUCGUGGGGGAUAACGUAGGGAAACUUACGCUAAUACCGCAUACGACCUACGGGUGAAAGCAGGGGAUCUUCGGACCUUGCGCGAUCGAAUGAGCCGAUGUCGGAUUAGCUAGUUGGCGGGGUAAAGGCCCACCAAGGCGACGAUCCGUAGCUGGUCUGAGAGGAUGAUCAGCCACACUGGAACUGAGACACGGUCCAGACUCCUACGGGAGGCAGCAGUGGGGAAUAUUGGACAAUGGGCGCAAGCCUGAUCCAGCCAUACCGCGUGGGUGAAGAAGGCCUUCGGGUUGUAAAGCCCUUUUGUUGGGAAGGAAAGGCAGCAGGUUAAUACCCCGCUGUUCUGACGGUACCCAAAGAAUAAGCACCGGCUAACUUCGUG
rnacentral:rRNA from 1 species